rnacentral:rRNA from 1 species
AACGAACGCUGGCGGCAUGCCUAACACAUGCAAGUCGAACGAGACCUUCGGGUCUAGUGGCGCACGGGUGCGUAACGCGUGGGAACCUGCCCUUAGGUUCGGAAUAACUCCCCGAAAGGGGUGCUAAUACCGGAUAAUGUCUUCGGACCAAAGAUUUAUCGCCUGUGGAUGGGCCCGCGUUGGAUUAGCUAGUUGGUAGUGUAAAAGCCUACCAAGGCGACGAUCCAUAGCUGGUCUGAGAGGAUGAUCAGCCACACUGGGACUGAGACACGGCCCAGACUCCUACGGGAGGCAGCAGUGGGGAAUAUUGGACAAUGGGCGAAAGCCUGAUCCAGCAAUGCCGCGUGAGUGAUGAAGGCCUUAGGGUUGUAAAGCUCUUUUACCCGGGAUGAUAAUGACAGUACCGGGAGAAUAAGCUCCGGCUAACUCCGUG